rnacentral:rRNA from 1 species
UGAGGAAUAUUGGUCAAUGGGCGGGAGCCUGAACCAGCCAAGCCGCGUGAAGGAAGAAGGUGCAGAGCAUCGUAAACUUCUUUUGUCGGGGAACAAUAAGUUGCACGAGUGCAAUUACGAGUGUACCCGAAGAAAAAGCAUCGGCUAACUCCGUGCCAGCAGCCGCGGUAAUACGGAGGAUGCGAGCGUUAUCCGGAUUUAUUGGGUUUAAAGGGUGCGUAGGCGGCAUUGCAAGUCGGCGGUGAAAGCUCGUGGCUCAACCAUGACGAGCCGUCGAAACUGCGGAGCUAGAGAGGAUGAGAGGUAUGCGGAAUGCGCGGUGUAGCGGUGAAAUGCAUAGAUAUCGCGCAGAACUCCGAUUGCGAAGGCAGCAUACCGGUGUCUAUCUGACGCUGAGGCACGAAAGCGUGGGGAUCGAACAGG